rnacentral:rRNA from 1 species
CCUACGGGAGGCAGCAGUGGGGAAUAUUGGACAAUGGGCGAAAGCCUGAUCCAGCAAUGCCGCGUGAGUGAUGAAGGCCUUAGGGUUGUAAAGCUCUUUUACCAGGGAUGAUAAUGACAGUACCUGGAGAAUAAGCUCCGGCUAACUCCGUGCCAGCAGCCGCGGUAAUACGGAGGGAGCUAGCGUUGUUCGGAAUUACUGGGCGUAAAGCGUGCGUAGGCGGCUAUUCAAGUCAGAGGUGAAAGCCCGGGGCUCAACCCCGGAACGGCCUUUGAAACUAGGUAGCUAGAAUCUUGGAGAGGUUAGUGGAAUUCCGAGUGUAGAGGUGAAAUUCGUAGAUAUUCGGAAGAACACCAGUGGCGAAGGCGACUAACUGGACAAGUAUUGACGCUGAGGUACGAAAGCGUGGGGAGCAAACAGGAUUAGAUACCCUGGUAGUCCACGCCGUAAACGAUGAUAACUAGCUGUCCGGGCACUUGGUGCUUGGGUGGCGCAGCUACGCAUUAAGUUAUCCGUCCGUCGGGUAGGUACGGUCGCGAGAAUUAAACUACGAAGGAAGUUAGACGGCGUGAGACGUGCCGACGGACGACCGACGAGGGAGGUAGG